rnacentral:rRNA from 1 species
UAGUGGCGAACGGGUGAGUAACACGUGGGCAAUCUGCCCUGCACUCUGGGACAAGCCCUGGAAACGGGGUCUAAUACCGGAUAAUACUGUGCCCCUCAUGGGGGACGGUUAAAAGCUCCGGCGGUGCAGGAUGAGCCCGCGGCCUAUCAGCUUGUUGGUGGGGUAAUGGCCUACCAAGGCGACGACGGGUAGCCGGCCUGAGAGGGCGACCGGCCACACUGGGACUGAGACACGGCCCAGACUCCUACGGGAGGCAGCAGUGGGGAAUAUUGCACAAUGGGCGAAAGCCUGAUGCAGCGACGCCGCGUGAGGGAUGACGGCCUUCGGGUUGUAAACCUCUUUCAGCAGGGAAGAAGCGAAAGUGACGGUACCUGCAGAAGAAGCGCCGGCUAACUACGUGCCAGCAGCCGCGGUAAUACGUAGGGCGCAAGCGUUGUCCGGAAUUAUUGGGCGUAAAGAGCUCGUAGGCGGUUUGUCACGUCGGGUGU